rnacentral:rRNA from 1 species
GUAAGCGUUGUUCGGAAUUACUGGGCGUAAAGGGCUCGUAGGCGGCCAACUAAGUCAGACGUGAAAUCCCUCAGCUUAACUGGGGAACUGCGUCUGAUACUGGAUGGCUUGGAUUCGGGAGAGGAAUGCGGAAUUCCAGGUGUAGCGGUGAAAUGCGUAGAUAUCUGGAGGAACACCGGUGGCGAAGGCGGCAUUCUGGACCGACAUUGACGCUGAGGAGCGAAAGCCAGGGGAGCAAACGGG